rnacentral:rRNA from 1 species
AUUGAACGCUGGCGGCAUGCCUUACACAUGCAAGUCGAACGGCAGCGCGGGAGCAAUCCUGGCGGCGAGUGGCGAACGGGUGAGUAAUACAUCGGAACGUGCCCAAUCGUGGGGGAUAACGCAGCGAAAGCUGUGCUAAUACCGCAUACGAUCUACGGAUGAAAGCAGGGGAUCGCAAGACCUUGCGCGAAUGGAGCGGCCGAUGGCAGAUUAGGUAGUUGGUGAGGUAAAGGCUCACCAAGCCUUCGAUCUGUAGCUGGUCUGAGAGGACGACCAGCCACACUGGGACUGAGACACGGCCCAGACUCCUACGGGAGGCAGCAGUGGGGAAUUUUGGACAGUGGGCGAAAGCCUGAUCCAGCCAUGCCGCGUGCAGGAUGAAGGCCUUCGGGUUGUAAACUGCUUUUGUACGGAACGAAACGGUCUUUUCUAAUAAAGAAGGCUAAUGACGGUACCGUAAGAAUAAGCACCGGCUAACUACGUG